rnacentral:lncRNA from 1 species
CUGGUUGCUCUGCCAAGAGAGAGGGGUCGUCAACACCGUAGUCGUACUGGGUAGCAGCGGCAUCGGUCUCGGUGUCUAGCGAGAGAAGAGGGGGGAGAAACAAUAAAUAUUAAGCAAACAGAUGCAUAGCGAUGCAUGACAUGACAAGUAGCGGUGCUAGGGGUGCCCUAACGCGGUAAGAGGUGGUACCGGUGAAGGGGGGAAAACAUCCGGGAAAAUAUCCCAGGUGUUUCGCAUUUUCGGACAGACGAACCGGAGUUGCGUGUUCGCUAUGCUAGGGAUGCGUGGCGGGCGAACGGGCUGCGUAUCCGGAUUCGUCUCGCCGUUCGGAGCAACUUUCAUGUACAAAGUUUUUCAUCCAAGGUACGGUUUAUUUUAUAUUAAUUUUCAAAGUUUUAAUUAAUUUUCUAGAGUUUUGUAUUUAGUUUUAAUCUGAAUUGACCAAGUCAAUUUGACCGGUCAAAAGCAAAGGUGGUAGCCCACAUGUCAUAGGCUUAGACAUUUUUAAUCUAAUUAAUAUUUUACCUAACAGUAGAGUCUAAAUGUUAUAUACACUACACCUAACCAUUAAUUAGCCUAACUACUGAUUAGCUACUAACCUAAAUAGGGCCGGUCUCAUCCAGAGACGCAGCCGGUCACGCACACACGAUGCACACACACACACAUCACACAACUACACAGGGUCAGCCAGAUGCACACAGCCGUGGCACAGCCGGCCACACACGGCGCGCGCACACACACACUAGACACACACUCACGCACACACAUCACAUGCCACACAUGGCCAUGGCCAGGCAGCAACCGGCAUAACAAGCAGCAGCAGAGGCAACUUGCAAGGCAGCCCAGCGGCGGCGCUACCAAGCAGCGGCAACAGCAUGGUAGAAGCAUCAUCAGCAAGCAAAAGCAUCUGCAUUAUGCGACCAGUAGUGCAAGAGCAACAGCAGGCUGCGCCGCGAAGUAACAGCAGCAGCAGCGGGUACGCGCGAGGAAUGCAGAUUUUGUGAGUUUAUGCACCCGGGCCUCACUAUCCUAACCCUUCAAUGUUGCUUUGAGAUCUGUGCUACACAACUACCUUAUUACAUGGAAUUUUCUCUUUUUUGUUCCUCUCAUAUAAAACAUGUCUUGAACUUCAAACUUUGCAGUACAACAUAACUUUAUAACUAGAAUGUGAGAUAAAACUUUCAGAUUUUUUUGUCCGACAUAAAUAUGAAAAAUAAGAUUUUUUUAAUCAAAUAAAUCUCAUUUUGUAUAUUUAUGUUGGACCAAAAAAUCUGUAAGUUUUAUCCCACAUUCUACAUAGAAAGCUUUGUUGUGCUGCAAAGUCGAAGUACAAAAUACAUGUUCUAUAUGAGAGAAACAAAAAAGAGAAAAUUAUUUGCACGAAUCGUGAUGCAGGAAUGAAUGGUUGGAUAAGGAGUACCCGGGUGCAUAGGCUCUAAAACAUGUUUUCGUACGCGCGAGUGGCGGCGGCUGCAGGCACUAGUGAGGAGCAGGGGCGCGGCAGCAGUUGGGCGCGGCUCGGGCGCGCGUGGAAGGGCAUCACGCCCAGACGGGCGCUGCCAGGGGCUCGCGGGCGCACGCGUGGAGGUGGGCGCGGCCGCGGUGAGCGCGAACUCGCACAAGUCGGGGUGGCGGCGGUGCACGGCGGCAAACAAUAACGGGAGGAAGGGGGAAAGCGGGGGAAUCUGAAGCGGAGCUCACUGCGAGGCUGAUGGAGAGCUUGGGGAGGCCGGAGGUUGCCGGGAUGAUGCGGAUCGAACGACGGCGUCGGACGGCCAUGGCGGAGGAAGAAGGCGCGAGCGUCGCGGGUGAUGCUCCCCAGCCUCGAUCCGGCAGAGUAGAAGAUGCAGACGACCGCGAUAGUGCUGCCGCACAAGCUCCAAGCCGGCGAGGAGCGCGGUGGCCGUGGCUAAGACGACGACCAUGGCGGUUGGGUACUCGGGCGCGUCCAAAUUGAAGAUGGUAAGCGAGAGAGCAGGGGAAUGG